rnacentral:tRNA from 1 species
GGUGCCAUAGCUCAGUUGGUAGAGCAAAGGACUGAUAAUCCUUGUGUCCCCGUUUCGAUUCCUGGUGGCACCA